rnacentral:tRNA from 3 species
GGACCCGUAGCCCAGCCAGGAUAGGGCGGCGGCCCUCUAAGCCGCAGAUCCGGAGUUCAAAUCUCCGCGGGUCCG